ACUGAAGUCAACAGUAACAGACACUCUGGACCAGGCGGCUCUCUAAACCGGGCACCUGGAGACCCCCCCCACACACACCCGGACCCUGCCCUCGAGGCCUUCAAGAUCGGUACACUUGACAGUGAAUCGUGGGUUUGCAGGGAACUGUGACAAAACUGCCUCCAGCAAGACCCCUGUGCAGAGCUCUGCAGACAGGAUGGUGUGAAGAAUGAAAGGAGAGAUUCGCUGGAGCCAUACAAGCCAUGGAGGUGACAGAAUAUGAAAAGUUGGGACUUCCCUGGUAGCGCAGUGGUUAGGAAUCCGCCUGCCAAUGCAGGGGACACAGGUUUGAGCCCUGGUCCGGGAAGAUCCCAUGUGCCGUGGAGCAACUAAACCCAUGCGCCGCGGAGCAACUAAGCCCAUGUGCCAUGGAGCAACUAAGCCCAUGCGCCACAACAACUGAGCCUGCGCUCUGGAGCCCGCGAGCCACAACUACUGAAGCCCGCGUGCCUAGAGCCCAUGCUCUGCAGCAAGACAAGCCACCUCAAUGAGAAGCCCGCACACUGCAAUGAAGACCCAAUGCAACCAAAAAUAAAAUUAAAAUAUAUAUAUAUAUACACACACACACACACACACAUAAACAGCUCUCAUUACUCAGUACUUAGAAGUUUUGAAUUCAAAAUUGUAACCAUUUUUAAC